UCCAGCCUGGGCGACAGAGCGAGACUCCAUCUCAAAAAGGGAAAAAAAUGUAUAUUCUGUUAUUAUUGGGUGUAGAGUUAUAUUUAUACAAUUAGGUUAUAUGUGUUAAAGAUGUUUGGAUUUCCUAAAUCUCUACUAAAUAUUUUUUCUUGUUCUGUUAUUAGGAGAAAUGUAAAAUUUUUCUCUAUGAAUUUGGAUUUGUCUAUUUCUCCUAUUAAUUCGAUUACUUUUCCCCUUUUUCAAGUUUAUUAGGAAUACAGAAAUUUAAACUUGUUUGACCUUACUAGAUGAUUGGCCUUUUAUCACUUUAAAAUUUCCUAUUUAUUUCUAAUAAUGCUAUCUUUAAGUCUACCGUUAUUUUUAACCUCCUUGUGUCCUUAUAUUAAAGGUGUGUCGAUUGCAAGCAUAUACUUACACUAUAUAGGAGUAUAUAAUUAUACCAUAUAGAUUAUAUAUAGUAUAUAUAUAUAUAUACAUACACACACAAGGAGUAUAUAAUUAUACUAUAUAGUCUAUCUUUUUAUUACUUAGCCUAGUUAUGUUUAGUAUAAUUAUUAAUCUGUUGGAGUUUAUGUUUACCAUCUUAUUGUUUUCUAUUUGAACCAUCUCUCAGUUUUAUGGAAAGAGGCCUAUGCACACAUAUUCACUUAGUAUCUCUCACUAAUACUUUAGCCACUUCCUCACAGAAGCCCACCCAACCUCAAGUCUAGAUACGAUUCCUUUUUGUAGUCAUUUUUGUAGUAUCGUCUUCUUUUUCCUAAGAGCACGUCGCUCAGUUAUUUUGUGUGAAUAUUUAAUUAAUGUCUGUUUCUUCUUUUAGACUAUAAUUCGAUGAUGGUAGGACUUUUUUUAUUAUAAAUAAAUAUUUGUAGCAUUAAAUUAAUAUGUAAAUUCUGUAACUAAUUCUACCUUUCUUUACAAUCAAAGGUUAAAUACAAACAACUUUCAUAAAUAAUCUACCCAUUUCCUUUAUGUAGAAGCGCAUCAUCUCACUGAGGAACCACUAUUAUAUUGAGUCUAAAUUGUCCUACCAUUGAUCAUGUCAAGCCCUCUCUUCAGGGACUUUGAGAGGCUUUGCAGUUUCCUGCAAUAGUGGGCUCAUUUCAUCACAUUUCCUGAGACAACCCUGUUUCUUGCACAUCCACAGGGAGGGUGAAUAGGACUGACCCAGUGCUCAUUUAUUGCAAAUAUUUUCCAGAUUAUUUGGUGCAAAUUCCUCUUCUACAAUAUUCCAUUGUCAUUUUUAAGUGAACUCGUCAAAGCUAAGGGCUCUGACUCAUGAAUGUUCACUUUCUUCCUGGAUUAAGUAGGCAGUCACAGUAAAAAAUGUCUGAUGACUCAAAGUUUCUAUGAGUGUAUUCAAGAUUUUUUCUCUUUUGAAAAAUCACUCUGAGUACAAGCGGAAGAAAUAAUGAUGUGCUAUGUGUCCUUCCUGACAUCCCUACGUAAACGGUACACUCUUCAGGACUUUUAUUCUUUCAGAAAUAUUCCAGCUUUUCAAGGUCCUUUGAUCCAUGUUUUAAUUAAAGGAAAAAAUUAUUUCUUUUUAUGCAUGUACUUUAAGAAAGUUUAUACCAAUAAUUCAAAUUAAGCAGAAUAAGUACCAUGAAAAUUAGAGAAAAUCAAAUCAGGCGAAUAAACCUAUUGCAAAUUACCUGGAGGCUUGACUUGUCCUUGGGUCAAGUUGCAUUGUAUUAGAAUAAAUAUAAUCUGCUGAGUGUAAAUGAAAACUCAGGGAAUAGGGCAGCCUUAUACAAAUAUCAACAGAUAUCUUACUCUGCUCACUACAGUCAACAGAUUAAAAAAUAGAUCUUUAUGGCACCAGGAGCUUAAAAUUUGUGAAAUAAAUGUUUAGAAAAUUUCAUUAUCUAACUCCUCGAAGAAAGCCCUUCUGCUGUAUUUCAACUAGAUACUGGACAUCACAGCUUCUGGAGUCUAUAGGAUUUGUCCAUGCCAAAAAUAUUUAUGAUUUACUUUUCCUCUGAAAGGCUAUUGUUGCCAUAUUGUUGCACAAUGGCUUUCUGAGACCAAUCAACUUUCUCUAGGGCCCAGGAAGAGUAAAAUCAAUAGUACACCCCUCAAUCAUUAUCUCAACUGAUUUUUGAUGGUACUUCUUCACUAUACAGCAACCAUUCUAUUCCUGUGGUAACAAGUUUUUAUAUUAACACAUUGAACACAUUAGUUUCUUAUCACAAACCCCUCCAACCCACAAUAAACUAGGAUUUUGAUUUUCACAUAACAGAACACAUUUGCUCAUUAAAGAUGGAGCAAGGGCUCGGGGGAGAGAGAGAGAGAGAGAGUGAGAGAGAGUGAGAGAUUGAGAUUUUUCCCAAAGACAAUUUAGUUCUUUUUCAAAAAGUAAACUACGGACUCCCACUCCUGUCCAUGACAGAAUGAAUCUGACUAGACUUGCUCUCCCAUAGUAAACAAGUAGGAAACCAAACAAAAUAUAUAAAACAAACAAUUGUUUUCAGAGACUGGACAACAGACAGUACAGGUGUGUGAUUCUGAGGUAAGGGAAGCAAAUGAUAUGAUCCCUAAAAUAACCUUGGCUUUCUACCUGGAGACAUUUUCCAGACCACAAUAAGGAAAAGAAAUCCCAAGCAGAGAAUGGUACUAUCUCUGAAUUAGGGAAAUCGUUUCUGAGUUUGGAGAGGCUGAGACUACUAGAAUUUGGGGGCAGAGUAAAAAAGGACAGAGCUACGCAGAGAAAAAGCUCCAUAAAUCUGCACCAGCGUGCCUAUGAGUCUUUGUACAUUUAUAGGGUAAGGCUCUAUAAGGAGGCUAAGCAGAAAAUAAUCACAAUGGAAAGAAUGACUAAUAAGGAGAUAUUCAUUCUAGAAUUCUGAGAGCUAGAAGACAUAUGAGUUUUGACUAAUAGGAAUGGCGAUACUCGAACUCCUGGGGUAUUCAAUGGAAGCUUCAAAAAGAUAUUACCUCAUUUGAUCUUUGUAUACACCUCAUUAGAUACUGACAGCUAUUCAACAAAUAAAGAAAAAGAGGCAUAGAAAAUUUGGAUAACUUACUAAAGUCAUUGAGACAACAGACAGCCAAGGCAUUGGCACAGUCUUUGGACAUGAAAAUCAUGGAGAAGGAAGAGGCUGAUUGUUAUCCAUGAUUAGGCAGUGCAGAUAUAGCUCAAUAUUCCAAAUGGGAUGUUUUGGCCUUGGAGUUAAGUUCCAAGAGCAUUAUAAAAUAAUCACCUGUAUAGGAAGUCCUGACUUAACUCUAUUAACAACUUCGAAAGUCACAUACCUGAAGAUGAUCCUGCAUGUCCAUAGAGCCUAGGUCCCUCAAAAGAUGGUGUUGCAAUGACAGAAAUUGAGACAUCAAGAGAACGUUUAGCAGAAUAAGUUAGUUAAGAUGUAGGUGUGUCGAAAGUUUCAGGUGUCAGUAAACAUCAAAAGAAAAUGUAGCAGUAGCUAGAAAUUUCCAGGCUGAAGAUGAAGGUUAAAGCUAAAGAUAGACUAUUUUUGUCAUCUACAUGGAAGAUGAUGGCUAAAGCUAUAAGAGUGAAUGACAUCAGCAAGGAAGAAAAUACAGGAAUAAGGAAGAAGAGAUGGUGAAAUGGCUACUCGUAAGGAGUGGGAGAAAGAAUAAAUGAGAAGAAAAUGAAGAAUGUGUGGCCAAGAACAUAGGAGAAAAGCCAGGAAGAUCAAUGUCUUAUCAACAGACAGAUUUGAGCAGCAGGCUGGGAGAAGGGUCCACACAAAAAUUCUGAGAUGGAGAUGAUGGCUAAAGUUAGAGUUCACAUUGGAUGACUUUGAACUCAGUAAACUAGGUGAAUUUGCCAGAAGAUAUGAAGCUGUGGGAACUUGGAAGCCCAGGACACUAUGAUAUUGAUUACAGGGAAAUAGUUCAAAAAUAUCACAAGAUUACAAGCA
rnacentral:lncRNA from 1 species